AACGAACGCUGGCGGCAUGCCUAACACAUGCAAGUCGAACGAGACCUUCGGGUCUAGUGUCGCACGGGUGCGUAACGCGUGGGAACCUGCCCUUAGGUUCGGAAUAACUCCCCGAAAGGGGUGCUAAUACCGGAUAAUGUCUUCGGACCAAAGAUUUAUCGCCUUUGGAUGGGCCCGCGUUGGAUUAGCUAGUUGGUAGGGUAAAAGCCUACCAAGGCGACGAUCCAUAGCUGGUCUGAGAGGAUGAUCAGCCACACUGGGACUGAGACACGGCCCAGACUCCUACGGGAGGCAGCAGUGGGGAAUAGUGGACAAUGGGCGAAAGCCUGAUCCAGCAAUGCCGCGUGAGUGAUGAAGGCCUUAGGGUUGUAAAGCUCUUUUACCCGGGAUGAUAAUGACAGUACCGGGAGAAUAAGCUCCGGCUAACUCCGUG
rnacentral:rRNA from 1 species